rnacentral:tRNA from 1 species
GAAAAACUAGUUAAAUUAUAACAUAAGAUUGUCAUUCUUAAAUUACUUUAGUGUUUUUCA